rnacentral:rRNA from 1 species
GACAGAGGUGCCGAGCGUUAGGCGGAAUCACUGGGCUUAAAGCGUGUGUAGGCGGACUUCUAAGUACCUUGUGAAAUCCCAUGGCUCAACCAUGGAACUGCUCGGUAUACUGGUUGUCUUGAGCCACUUAGGGGCAGUCGGAACGGACGGUGGAGCGGUGAAAUGCGUAGAUAUCGUCUGGAACGCCAAAGGUGAAAACAGGUUGCUGGGGGUGUGCUGACGCUGAGACACGAAAGCCAGGGGAGCGAACGGG